UCCAAACUAUGGAAAACAAAGUGCACUUUGAGAUAUUCUAAACGAUAGAAUAAAUCUCAGACAAAAUUAACCCACAUGUAAACCAUAAACCCUUAACCACCAUUAACUCUCUCUGUAAUUCUAGCACUCACCAAAACCAAACUAAAAAGGAAAAGAAGAAAUUAAAGCACGUAUUGUACAUACCCAAAACAAGGCCCACUAACAUUAAUUAAGCCAAACCCUAAAUUUAAUUAGAGAUCACGUCAAUCAUUACUUCAAGCGUAGGUUGCUUCACGUCAUCAUCAUCUGGAUCGUCUUCGGCACCAUCG
rnacentral:lncRNA from 1 species